GCUGCGCUGCUCGGAGCCCCCGCCGGCCUGCAGCGGGUGGACACCGAAACAUGGAGCCACCAGAUCUGGAUAACUGCAAGAGAAGAAUUCAUCGGGAACACCCUGGAUAAUAAAUACGACGCCGUCCAGCUGUGAGCAGAUACAUACAGACCGUUCCUGCAGCUGCAGAACUCUGGCAAACUCCCCGACCUCCUCUGUAACGGCAACCAGAGUCUGUACCCCGGCCUGCACACACAAGCGCAUGGAUGAUACACACCUUUUCCUCUUCUUCUUCAGAGCUGAGAUCCUGCAAAGAAGAACCAGUUGAUGGAUCUGACAGCUAAGUG